rnacentral:lncRNA from 1 species
CUCAGCCUGCGACCCGAGGCUCAACUCACUUCUCGCAAUAUGAGUUGAUUUUUGAAAACAGAAAUUGAAAAAUAUUUCUUGAAAGAAACAGGGUUUCAGAAAAAAUCUGGUGAAACUAAAAAGCCUUCUUCUUCAUUAAUUCUGUGCAGCUUUCUCCCAGUAUUCCUUGCUCUACUGGUAUACUUGUAUAUGUCAUGUAUGAUGUUAUUAUGAUAUGCACAUGUUUGUCUUAAAUGCUUUUGUGUCUAAAUGAUCAUGUCAUGCACCCUGGGCUGUUUAUCACGUGCCCCACUUAUGAUUUUCGUGAGGAUCCGCAUUCAUUUCCUCAAUUCUUGACUUUCUCUCAGGUUUUGUGCCCAUCUCCAAGUUUGUUAAGUGAUCAACAUUUCCUCGUAUAUCACCCUCUUGCCCCCUCGUUGAACUUUGUUCUUGCUUCAGGGUCCUUGUAUUUAUCAAAUUCUCAUCCAGGUAAUGCUCAACAUUCCUUUUGUUUAGAGUAUGUCAUCUUGCUAUUUAUCAUUUAAAUGAAUCCAAAAUGAGAUGCAUAAAAAGACAAAAUAGGCAUGAAAGACUUCACAUUCAUUUUUUUUUCAAAAGUAACAAACAAAAAAUUGACAAGGAAAGUUUAACAAAUGAAUCGUCAUAAAGAAAAGAAAGCGAGUUCAAUGGCCAGAAAUGCUCUAGAUAUCCAAUGCAUGAACUUUCCACGUUUCUUCAUCCUGGAUCUUUUUGAGCACGGCUUCUUGUGUAGAAGAUUUUGAGCUUCUGAGAAUGCUUCAAAUAUUGUAACCCCGCCAUUCGACUCCUCAUUCAAGCCACUUUGCUCCUUUAAGCCCAAGCCCACUUUGUUAGGACGCCCUUUUGGGUUUUCAUCCUAAUCUUUUUUGUUCAUCAAGACGCCCUUUUCGGGUUUUCAUCUUGAUUUUUUCUUUUUUUUUGUUUUUUCCUUUUUUGUUUUGUUUUUUUCUAUUUUUUUUGUUUUUUUUCUAUUUUUUUGUUUUUUUUAAGCAUAAUAUUUCUUCACAGCAUCUGAGUUCACUGGAUUAGGUAAUUCUUUCCCGUCCAUCUCAGUGAGAAUCAGAGCCCCUCCUGAGAAUGCCUUUUUUACAACGUAUGGCCCUUCCCAAUUUGGUGACCAUUUUCCUCGAAAGUCCUUUUGUAUCGGGAGGAUCUUUCUUA